AAUUCAUGAUUGGGGCAAUUCUUAACUAAUCCUUUGAAACACUCACAUGCGUCGCUCAAGGUUUCACCUUUUUCUGCUCGAAGUUCAUGAUCUCUCUCUGCCUCC